GCGGUGGCUCAGUGGAAGAACCUCUGCUCUGCACUGCGGAUGGUCCCUGGUUCGAUCUCCGGCAUCGGCA
rnacentral:tRNA from 1 species